rnacentral:rRNA from 1 species
GACGAACGCUGGCGGCGUGCUUAACACAUGCAAGUCGAACGAAGAGCGAUGGAAGCUUGCUUCUAUCAAUCUUAGUGGCGAACGGGUGAGUAACGCGUAAUCAACCCGCCCUUCAGAGGGGGACAACAGUUGGAAACGACUGCUAAUACCGCAUACGAUCUAAUCUCGGCAUCGAGGAUAGAUGAAAGGUGGCCUCUACAUGUAAGCUAUCACUGAAGGAGGGGAUUGCGUCUGAUUAGCUAGUUGGAGGGGUAACGGCCCACCAAGGCGAUGAUCAGUAGCCGGUCUGAGAGGAUGGACGGCCACAUUGGGACUGAGACACGGCCCAGACUCCUACGGGAGGCAGCAGUGGGGAAUCUUCCGCAAUGGACGAAAGUCUGACGGAGCAACGCCGCGUGAGUGAUGACGGCCUUCGGGUUGUAAAGCUCUGUUAAUCGGGACGAAAGGCCUUCUUGCGAAUAGGGAGAAGGAUUGACGGUACCGGAAGAGAAAGCCACGGCUAACUACGUG